rnacentral:misc_RNA from 1 species
GAUGAAGAACGCAGCAAAAUGCGAUAAGUAAUGUGAAUUGCAGAAUUCAGUGAAUCAUCGAAUCUUUGAACGCACAUUGCGCCCGCCAGUAUUCUGGCGGGCAUGCCUGUUCGAGCGUCAUUUCAACCCUCAAGCCCCCGGGUUUGGUGUUGGGGAUCGGCGAGCCUCACGGCAAGCCGGCCCCGAAAUACAGUGGUGGUCUCGCUGCAGCUUCCAUUGCGUAGUAGUAAAACCCUCGCAACUGGUACGCGGCGCGGCCAAGCCGUUAAACCCCCAACUUCUGAAUGUUGACCUCGGAUCAGGUAGGAAUACCCGCUGAACUUAAGCAUAUCAAUAAGCGGAGGA